AUGUGUAUAUAUAUGUGUAACUGUGUGUAUGAUGAAUAUACGGUGAAUUACACCUUUCAGCUGGCCGCCCUCGACAAAGCGCUAGAGCUCGUCGAGUCCCAGCAGCCGGGCGGCUUCGGCGCGGAGGUCAAGAAGCUGGUGACCAGCGGCACGACGGCCGACAGGUUCCAGAAGGUCGAGGCGAGGAUCACCGCCUGCGUCACCGACGUCGGCUUGGCGGAUCAGUUCGCCGCUCGCUAUCGUGCCCGCCAUCCCAACACAGGGACCGGCUCUGCACCCUCCCUUGCUCCGGAGCAUCACCACCAGAGCUUGCGUCAAGGCCGGAGCUUGCGGCGAGGCCGGAGCUUACGGCUAUCACCAUCGCAGCAGCAGCAGCAACGGAGCUCGCCGUCCACGACACCACCGUUACAGCAGCACCGGAGCUUGCUUCAAGGCCCGAGCUUGCGGCAAGGCCGGAGCUUACGGCUAUCACCAUCGGAGAAGCAGCAACGGAGGCUCCGGUUGGGGGAGUCAUCGUCGCAGCAGCAACAGAACUCGCGGUCCACGACGCCGCCGUUACAGCAGGGCCGAAGCUUGAGGCGGCAACACCCGGACUCUUAG
rnacentral:rRNA from 1 species